rnacentral:rRNA from 1 species
CACGAAGCAAUUUGAGCUAAUUUAGCACAUUUAUUAGAAUUAUGUAUGUUACAUAAUACUGUGGAGAUUAUAAAUUAGGAGUGACAGUCUUUUCAAAUUUUGCGAUAUCUUGAUGCGACCGACAAGUAUUUAGUACAACUACAAUUAAUAAGCGCUUAGGUUUAUUAAAAAUAUUAAUAAUUGUUAGUAGGUGUUGUUUGAUAUAAUAAUUAACUACUACCUAUAAUAAUAUUAUUAUAUACUAUUUAUAGAAAAUAGGCCGUAGUAUCAAUCAUCCUGCAAUUAUUUAAUGUUAUUAUUAGUAAUAAAUAGAUAUUUAUAAUUAACUUGGCAAUUUAUCUUUCAACUGUUUAUCAAAAACAUAGUUAUCAGAAGUUAUUGAUAAUUUGUUCUGCUCAAUGAAUAAUUAAAUAGCCGCAGUACCCUGACUGUGCAAAGGUAGCAUAAUCAUUUGGCUUAUAAUUGAAGUCUUGUAUGAAUGAAACGAUGGGGGAUGACUGUAUCAUAAAUAUUGAAUUAACUUACCUGAAAAGUGCAAAUGCUUUUACUUAAAUAAUAGACGAGAAGACCCUUGAAAUUUUAAGAAUGUGUAACUAAAGGUUUUUGUUGGGGCAACAAUGUAACAGAAAACUUACAUUUUUACAUGAAAUGGAAUAGAUUGAUAAAAUUACUCUAGGGAUAACAGCGUAAUAUUUAAAUGUUUGCGACCUCGAUGUUGGACUAGGAAACAAAAGCUUAG